rnacentral:rRNA from 1 species
CAGUAGCCACGGUAACACGUAGGGUGCAAGCGUUAAUCGGAAUUACUGGGCGUAAAGCGUGCGCAGGCGGUUAUAUAAGACAGAUGUGAAAUCCCCGGGCUCAACCUGGGAACUGCAUUUGUGACUGUAUAGCUAGAGUACGGCAGAGGGGGAUGGAAUUCCGCGUGUAGCAGUGAAAUGCGUAGAUAUGCGGAGGAACACCGAUGGCGAAGGCAAUCCCCUGGGCCUGUACUGACGCUCAUGCACGAAAGCGUGGGGAGCAAACAGGAUUAGAUACCCCUGUAGUCCCUGUCUCUUAUAC